rnacentral:rRNA from 1 species
GGACCAAGGAGUCUAGCAUGUGCGCAAGUCAUUGGGACAUUAAUAAAACCUAAAGGCGUAAUGAAAGUGAAUAUAUUCUUUGUGAUUUUCGGAUCACAUUGUAAUUCAGGGAAGAUGGGUAUACUAUACAAUAAUGUUACCCCGCAUUCCCGGGGCGUCGCGUACUUAUUGCAAGUUGCGGCGCACCAAGAGCGUACACGCUGGGACCC